rnacentral:tRNA from 3 species
GCGGGUGUAGCUCAGUGGUAGAGCGCUAGCUUCCCAAGCUAGAUAUGCGGGUUCGAUUCCCGUCACCCGCUCCA